rfam:Neotoma lepida isolate 417 scaffold_2905, whole genome shotgun sequence.
GGAGAGAUGGCUCAGAGGUUAAGAGCACUGNAUGCUCUUUCAGAAGACCUGAGUUCAAUUCUCAGCAACUACA